ACUUGUCAGCUACGAAGUCAGGCAGCUGGAGUACCUUACAAAGAAGUUAUCCUCAGCAAAGACUGUACAAGAGGCAGAUGAGCUCUGGAAGUCAUUCGCAAAGCGCAACAUCAAGGCAGAUCCAGACACAAUGGCCCACUACAAUAGUGUCCGCAACUCACUCGCCUCCAGAGAGAAGAGCCUUCGAUGAUUGCGGUGCUGUCUGCGAUUCUGGAAUUUCUUUCUGUGAUCGAAACUAGCUACGCUACCUUGAUCAUGUGCACACAGCGGUCAUGGUAAGAUUAGAAUGGCAGUCUUCUUUUCUUCUUUUUUUCGAUUCCACGUCAUUCUUGGGUUGCUGCGGAGAUGUUGACUUUGGACAUCAUGGAAAAAGUGGUAUCUGCCUAGACAUCCCGAGAAAACUAUUCCAGUAAACUACAUCAGGUAGUUCUUUACUCGCUUCUGCCACGGUGCACUCUGUGAGACAAGCAGCAAAACUGGUAGAUUGGGUUUCUGGCUCUUAAACCGCAGGCUCUGAUGUAUUCACCCAGCAGAUACCGUUUUCGUUUUCAUGCUCGCUUUCAAGGGGCUUCAAUCUCUCACGAAAGAUGCAUCUAUGGCUGCUGUGAUGACGAAUUGCAUCUGUUGUUGCAGUUUGUAAGUUAUUACGCUGCACUGUUAUCAGUUAGAGGAUUACAAAAGAGUGGCACGUCACACCUUCAUUGAAAUCCUUUUAAUGAAUCUUGAGAAGAGUAGGGCUAAUGACAACAUAUUUAUAAUCGCAUUUCUUUCGCUAGAAUAAUGCAGCUGAAGCUACUUCAUCAGUGUAUGACUUGAAGCUCACCAAUCCCUUGGUCUCAUUGUUACGUUCAGAAAAUGACGUUAUCAAUAAAAGAAUUUUGCCUGUUCAUCACGCUUUUCUGCCAACUGA